rnacentral:rRNA from 1 species
AUAUCAAUAAGCGGAGGAAAAGAAACUAACAAGGAUUCCCCUAGUAACUGCGAGUGAAGCGGGAAAAGCUCAAAUUUAAAAUCUGGUGGUCCUUUGGCCAUCCGAGUUGUAAUUUAGAGAAGCGUCUUCCGCGCUGGACCGUGCAUAAGUCUCCUGGAAUGGAGCGUCAUAGAGGGUGAUAAUCCCGUCUUUGACCUGGAGCUCGCCGCGUACGACAUACGUUCAUAGAGUCGGGUUGUUUGGGAUUGCAGCCCUAAAUGGGUGGUAAACUUCAUCUAAAGCUAAAUAUUGGCGGAGACCGAUAGCGCACAAGUA